rnacentral:lncRNA from 1 species
UAAUAGGUGGGCUCUGCAAGCAAGUGGGCCUUUCUCUGAUGUCUUUCAACUGUUCCUUCCGAUAUAUGAAAGUGCAUUAGUUAUUAAAAAAUGUAUGGUGCCACACGUUUCAUUUAAACUGUUAUGUGCAUCUGGUACUACUAAUGCCAUUCUACAGUACUUCUUAGCACACUGUAGUU